UACGUAGGGUGCGAGCGUUGUCCGGAAUUACUGGGCGUAAAGAGCUCGUAGGUGGUUUGUCGCGUUGUUCGUGAAAUCUCACGCUAACUGUGGAGCGUGCGGGCGAUACGGGCAGACUAGAGUACUGCAGGGGAGACUGGAAUUCCUGGUGUAGCGGUGGAAUGCGCAGAUAUCAGGAGGAACACCGGUGGCGAAGGCGGGUCUCUGGGCAGUAACUGACGCUGAGGAGCGAAAGCGUGGGGAGCGAACAGG
rnacentral:rRNA from 1 species